rnacentral:rRNA from 1 species
AGAGACAGGUGCGUAAUAGCUCACUAGUCGAGUGACACUGCGCCGAAAAUGUACCGGGGCUAAACAUAUUACCGAAGCUGUGGAUUGUCCUUUGGACAAUGGUAGGAGAGCGUUCUAAGGGCGUCGAAGCAUGAUCGCAAGGACAUGUGGAGCGCUUAGAAGUGAGAAUGCCGGUGUGAGUAGCGAAAGACGGGUGAGAAUCCCGUCCACCGAUUGACUAAGGUUUCCAGAGGAAGGCUCGUCCGCUCUGGGUUAGUCGGGUCCUAAGCUGAGGCCGACAGGCGUAGGCGAUGGAUAACAGGUUGAUAUUCCUGUACCACCUAGUAUCGUUUUAAUCGAUGGGGGGACGCAGUAGGAUAGGCGAAGCGUGCUGUUGGAGUGCACGUCCAAGCAGUAAGGCUGAGUGUUAGGCAAAUCCGGCACUCAUAAGGCUGAGCUGUGAUGGGGAGAGGAAAUUGUUUCCUCGAGUCGUUGAUUUCACACUGCCGAGAAAAGCCUCUAGAUAGAUAACAGGUGCCCGUACCGCAAACCGACACAGGUAGUCAAGAUGAGAAUUCUAAGGUGAGCGAGCGAACUCUCGUUAAGGAACUCGGCAAAAUGACCCCGUAACUUCGGGAGAAGGGGUGCUCUUUAGGGUUCACGCCCAGAAGAGCCGCAGUGAAUAGGCCCAAGCGACUGUUUAUCAAAAACACAGGUCUCUGCUAAACCGUAAGGUGAUGUAUAGGGGCUGACGCCUGCCCGGUGCUGGAAGGUUAAGAGGAGUGGUUAGCUUCUGCGAAGCUACGAAUCGAAGCCCCAGUAAACGGCGGCCGUAACUAUAACGGUCCUAAGGUAGCGAAAUUCCUUGUCGGGUAAGUUCCGACCCGCACGAAAGGCGUAACGAUUUGGGCACUGUCUCAACGAGAGACUCGGUGAAAUCAUAGUACCUGUGAAGAUGCAGGUUACCCGCGACAGGACGGAAAGACCCCGUGGAGCUUUACUGUAGCCUGAUAUUGAAAUUCGGCACAGCUUGUACAGGAUAGGUAGGAGCCUUUGAAACGUGAGCGCUAGCUUACGUGGAGGCGUUGGUGGGAUACUACCCUAGCUGUGUUGGCUUUCUAACCCGCACCACUUAUCGUGGUGGGAGACAGUGUCAGGCGGGCAGUUUGACUGGGGCGGUCGCCUCCUAAAAGGUAACGGAGGCGCUCAAAGGUUCCCUCAGAAUGGUUGGAAAUCAUUCAUAGAGUGUAAAGGCAUAAGGGAGCUUGACUGCGAGACCUACAAGUCGAGCAGGGUCGAAAGACGGACUUAGUGAUCCGGUGGUUCCGCAUGGAAGGGCCAUCGCUCAACGGAUAAAAGCUACCCCGGGGAUAACAGGCUUAUCUCCCCCAAGAGUUCACAUCGACGGGGAGGUUUGGCACCUCGAUGUCGGCUCAUCGCAUCCUGGGGCUGUAGUCGGUCCCAAGGGUUGGGCUGUUCGCCCAUUAAAGCGGUACGCUAGCUGGGUUCAGAACGUCGUGAGACAGUUCGGUCCCUAUCCGUCGUGGGCGUAGGAAAUUUGAGAGGAGCUGUCCUUAGUACGAGAGGACCGGGAUGGACAUACCUCUGGUGUACCAGUUGUCGUGCCAACGGCAUAGCUGGGUAGCUAUGUAUGGACGGGAUAAGUGCUGAAAGCAUCUAAGCAUGAAGCCCCCCUCAAGAUGAGAUUUCCCAACUUCGGUUAUAAGAUCCCUCGAAGAUGACGAGGUUAAUAGGUUCGAGGUGGAAGCGUGGUGACACGUGGAGCUGACGAAUACUAAUCGAUCGAAGACUUAAUCAA